CGCGCCUAAGCUGUGGCGGAAGGGCUGCCCGCGGGGCAUUCUGGGAGUUGUAGUUCUAAGGCCGAGCCAGGCUGCACUACAAGCCCCACAACAGGCCGCGUUCGCCCCGGCGCGGAUGCUGAGGUUGCUAACGCCAUCUUGAGAGCGAAGAGCCGCAGGAACUCCCCUCCCCCAACCGCUCGGGACUGCGCUGCUGCGAGCCGGAGGCCAGGCUAGGCCGCGGAAGGCUGUUGCUGUCUCUGCCCGGAGAUGCUUCAUGCUGAAUGUAAAGUAAGGCCUUUGGAAUGUGAAGAUGAAAUAACAAUUGAACCGUGUUCUAAAAAAAUUAAAUCAACAGAAGAAGCUCAUGAUAAAUCCUGUGAUGAUGGUUUCCAGGGAUCUUUUAUGAAAACAGACACUGAGAGAAUAAACAAAGAAUGGAUACCUUUAUACAUCUCUGAUGACCAAGGAAAACAGGAAGUGCAGCAGAAAGAGAAUGAAAAUACAGAUGUCUUGGAAACAUCCAAUGAAGAAUUCCCUGGUAAUAGGCCAGGGAUUAUUGAGUCUACUCGUUCAACGAUCAUGCAGAGUGUAAAUCUUCCAAUAAAAGACACUGAGGUUACAGAAAAUAAAUGCCCAUUCAUUACUGAAAAAGUAGAUGAAGCUAAUAUUAAAGAAAUUAGCAAUAAAUCGUUCACAGUAAAUGGAGGUGAAGUAGAGGCUGAAGAACAUAGUACAAGCAAAGUAUUUAUUGGGCCUGUUUACAGACCUGUGGAGGAGAACAAACAGGAUGAAACCAGGAAUUUUACUAAAUUUAGCACAGGCAAAGAGAAACAAAAUACUGUACUUGACAACAAAAUUGACAAAGAGGAAGCAAAGAAAAUACAGACUCUCUCUUGUGAUGUAUCAGAAAUAGAUGAUGAAUUGUGCCAAUUUUAUAAAGAAAUUCAGCAGCUUGAAAGCGAUAAAGAUGAGUUAGAAGGUCACCUACAGGAAAAAGAAACUGAAUCAUCUCAGGAACGAUUUAUACCAUCUCAUGAGGAUGAACAAGAUACCUGUUACAGUAGAACACAAUCAUAUUACGACCAUGAACAAUGUUUCUAUAAUGAACCAAGUGGCCAGAAGACAGGCAGUGAACCAAAAUGUUUUGACAGUGAAACAAAUGGCUGGAGAAGUGAGAAUCAUUUUAAUUGGCAAGUGGAUUCUAAAUUCUGGAACCAUUCAGUCCCUCAGUUUAGGCCUGGAUGGCAGCCAACACAAUCUUUCAUAAUACCUCAGGGUCCUCUUCCUCCUAGGUUCAACCAUCAUUUAGAUGUUCAAACUCUUAAUUCCACACCACAUCAACCAAAUACUCUCCAUUCUCAGAAUGAUGGACUUCCUCACAAGAAUUAUGCAGGUUACCAUGGAAAUAGUGGCAGUACUAAUAGGAGCUGUCCAUUGUUUGAUCAGAAUAAUAGUCAUGCUGGUCAUAGUGGUAUCCAUAGUAUGCAAGUCUCCAGAAAUGGAUAUAGCAACCAGGAUGGAUGCAUGAAUAAUGGUUUCUGUGAAACCAGAGAAGUGUGUUGGAAAGAUCCUAGAACUUACCAGAUAGAGGGAAUACACAAUUUUAACUUUCAGCAGUUUUCAGAAGACAAGUUAUGUAGGUCACAGAAAUUACUUCUAAUUUUAAGAGGUCUGCCUGGCUCAGGAAAAACAACACUGUCUCAUAUUCUACUCGGUCAAAAUCGUGAUGGCGUGGUGUUCAGCACCGAUGAUUAUUUUCGUCAGCAAGAUGGAUAUACAUAUAACGUUGCUCAGCUUGGUGAUGCUCAUGACUGGAACCAGAAGAGAGCAAAACAAGCAAUGGAUCAGGGAAGAUCUCCAAUUAUAAUAGACAACACUAAUACUCAAGCCUGGGAAAUGAAGCCGUAUGUGGAAAUGGCUCUAGGGAAAGGCUACAGAGUGGAAUUCCAUGAGCCAGACACAUGGUGGAAGUUUGAUCCAGAGGAGUUAGAAAAGAGGAAUAAACAUGGGGUCCCUCGUGAGAAGAUUGCUCAGAUGUUGGAACGAUAUGAAUAUCAAAUGUCCAUCUCUGUUGUAAUGAAUUCAGUGGACCCUCCUCACAAAAACACACAAAGGCCACCUCCACAGCGAAGACAGAGGGUAACAGACAUUAAGAAGAAACCUGGGCACAGACUGAGCAAAGCUAAACAGAGGAAAAAGAGAAAAAGAAACAGAAAAAUGAAGCAUGAUCAUGUUAAAAUCACAGAGAAAAAAUCAGAUGGAGCCCCUUGUCAUCUAAUUCCUGAUGACCAGGAAACAUCAGACAGUGAAGAGGAAGAUUCAGAAGAAGAAAACAGAAAAUCAGUAUUUACAUUUAAUGGAGAUCCAGGAGACGAAGGUUGUGAAGAUCGUUCCAAUGGUGAUUGUAAUGAAAGCCCCAAAUCUACAAAGCAUCAAACAGAAAGUUUACCUAUUGCUGUGUCUGAGACUUCAGCAACAUUAGCUAGUCCAGUGAAAAGUGACUUGUUUACAGAAGAUGAUGGUCCAUUUCUAAUAAAUUUGACAUCUGCUCCUAAUAAAAACUUAACUGAAUUUAAACACACACUUGAUGAUCAGGAGGUUGAUCAUAACCAAAAUAAAAACCUUAUGGUAAAUGAGAGCAAUUCCUUAGAUACAAAUGAUCACAGUUUUGUUCUAGACACAGAAUAUAACAGUAAAGAAAAUAGUUCUAUGAUGUUAAACAAUCAAGAUGAACUUACAUUAGAUCAAAUUGCAAGUGAACCUGACCUAAAAAGUAAAUUGUUAAAUGUAAGUAAUGGAAAAAAAGAAACCCUGUCUCUCCAGCAUGAUUUGAAAACAUCUGAAAUUUGUGUUGUCUUGCCUGAUAAAACCACGAAAGACAGACAGACAUCAAAAAGGAAUGAGAGAAAUCCUUGGGCUUUUUUUUCAAUUGAUUUAACUGAUAUACAAUUCCAGCUUGUCUCUGAUAGGUUGGGUUCUUGUUCUUGGCCUGAGGGUGCCCAUAAAUUCAUAUGUGAGCAAAGACCAAAAAGAGGGAGGCGGCCUAAACAGACCUAUCCUGACAGCACAGUAGAACAAACUCAUGAAUCUAAUGAAGAAUUAGAAAAAGAAACCAGUCUGCAAACAUUAACUGAAGAGGGUGGCAGUGUAACACAUGGUGGUCUACAGUCAUCGCUGAUUGACAAAGUACAUAAUAUUUCAUUUAUAGAGUCAGGAGUCACUGUCACAAACUGCUUAGCUGAAGCCAAUGUUCCAAGCAAUGUAGGUACACCAGUUCCAUCGAAGAAAAAAGGAAGAUGCAAAAGGAUUUUCAACUUGGCACCAAACUUUCAUCUACCAAGGCAGAUUGCUGUUAGUACAAAGGAGGGACAGAAGGAUGUUCUUUUGAUGGAUGAUAACCUAUCAGAAAAUGUUUUGAAAACAGAAAAAGAGAGAAUUUCAAAUAAGGACAAUGGAAAGAAGAGUGAACAAAACCUUGAAUUUCAAGAAUAUCUAACACCUUCUAAUAAUGAUGUGACAGAUUCUUCACUUAACCAUGGUGUGGGAUCUCUCUUACAUAGUAGUCAGUGGGGACAAUCUCUGUGUCUUUCAAAGAAAGCUGUUUUUUCUUCAGCUCAGAAGUUUCCCUCUAGUUUUUGUACAGUUUCUUCAACAAGUAAGGAACAAAUUACAACUUUUAAACAAGAAAAAAUACUUGAUAAAAAAGAGGGUGAGAGAGAACAGUUCUCUUCAGAGCUUACAAAUAGUCAACCAGAUAUUUUGUGUUCUGUUAAAGUAACAUCUGACAGUCCUACAUACCCUAAUGUAUUUGAAAGCAGUGGUGAAGAUAUGCACAAAGCAGAUGAAAGUAAGCCAUCACAGUCCUCACAAAUUGAAGCUAAUCAAGAUACUUUAAAUACUAAAUCCAAUUUUUUGGGUCUUCCCUUAUCAUUGGAAUUUGCAUUUCAACUUGUAGACCUUUUUGGUUCUCCUGGAUUUCCACUGGAGUCUUUAUUGCCAGAUGAUUACAUAGUUCCUCUUGAUUGGAAAACAUCAAAGAAGAUCCAUUUACUAUGGAAGACAUCUGUGGAGAGGAAACAGAAAAAGAAUGGAUUAGAAAAUGGGAGUUCUUUGGCUGUUGGUGCCAACAUUGUGGAGGAUACAAAUAAAGAUUGCCAAAAGAGUCAAGAAUCUUAUGAAACACUUCCGGAAACAAACCUAUAUCAAGAUGUACUAGAAGAGAACUCUGUGACUUAUCCAGACAACAAGCACUUGUAUAAUGUAUCAACCAAUCUUGAAUGUCAUCUUAAACAGAAAAAGUCAACAUGAAGAUAAAGGUCUGGCCCCAGCUCACAUUUUAUCACAAUGAUAAUGAAAACUUAAUGGGUUUCUUUGGACAGAAAUUUGUCAAUCUUGGCACCAUCAUGAAGGACCUCAGUUUACAAUCAAGUGUUAUAAAUGUAAGGAAUAACCUGGAAGAAGUAUUCAGUGUAGAAUUUGGUACUGAACCAUGAUCCUCAAUAAUCCUUAGGCUUUAUAUCCACAUAGCCACCCAUUCUGGUUUUGAAAUAAAAAAAAUUGUAAUAAUU